ACCACAUCAUGUCAGCGGCUUCUUGAGUUCUAGACUUUGUGGAAGAAUUGUUAAUGAUCCCACUAGGACCUUCAAAAACCUUAGAGUGCUGGUGCAAAGAGAAGACAGUUGGGUGGGAGAGAUGACACAGACAGAAGAACAGACGUGGAGGAAGAAGAGUGAAAAAAGACAUGCGUGGGAAAGAGAAGAGGCAAUGGGGACCAAAAAACUGAAUACAGGGAGCAGGAUCAGUUUCUCCAUUUAUCAGUAAGAUAAUUUCAAGAUAAUCACUGU